rnacentral:piRNA from 1 species
UACCGUAGCACCAACAAGUCUGGUAG